GCAUUGGAAUUGGAAAGACUGACAAAUAGAGAAGGAUAUGUGAAGGAGUGAAAAGGAUUAAUCUUGUGAUUGGUGAGUGGAUAUGUAUCUUAUAUGACUUCUUUAAUCAAAACCUAGAAAGUUUAAACAGAAGAGUUGAAGAAGUCCAAUGCAAAGAAACCCAUGAAGAAACAACCAUAUCCUUCCUAAAGAAACUAUCCAAACUUGAGAGACGGAUUGAAGCUGCAAAAGCAUUUCAGGAGGAAGUGUUCUCAAAAAUGGCUGUUC